GACAUAAAAAACAAUUAAAAUGAUCUGGGGGAGACUAAUACUGAAAGGCGAAAUUACUUGAUUGAUGUGAAGUGAUUACAGGCAAGCUAUACAGUGGCUUUGGCAACAAACAAGAAAAGCCAUCAGGGUAUUUGGAUGGAGUUUAGAUCGAGUUUUGGUACACAUUGGAGAAGCGGAUUUUCUGCAAGUUAGCACUAGGUUGCAAGAUUUAGGGGGCUAAUUUAAAAAGGUGAAGAUAAUGGGGACUGAUGUCAGAAUAUGAAAGAAUAGGAGACUAACCUCAAAAGAAAGAAAACUUUCCUGUGCUUUACACCAACCGAAAGAGAUUGAAUGAUCCUGUUAAUAUUUCAUUUUCCGGAGAGAUGACCGUUUAUUUCAAAUUGAUGAUGACUAAAUAAAUUGGCUCUAGAAGUUUUAUUGAA